AUGAACGCUGGCGGCGUGGAUAAGGCAUGCAAGUCGGACGAUUUCCUUUUUUUGAAGAAGAUGCGAUUACAUCAAAUUAACAGAUAUUUUGAAAACAGUGGCGAACGAGCUAGUAACACCUUGGUACGUACCCGAAAGUUUGGUAUAGCUCGCCGAAAGGCGGGGUAAUCCCAAAUAGUCCCUUCAUCUAUCGGAUGAUAGGGUAAAGUAGCAAUACGCUUUCGGAUCGGCCUAGGUCCGAUCAGUUAGUUGGUGAGGUAAUGGCUCACCAAGACAAAUGACCGGUAGG
rnacentral:rRNA from 1 species